CAGUUCGGAUUGCAGCCUGCAACUCGGCUGCAUGAAGCUGGAAUCGCUAGUAAUCGCGGAUCAGAAUGCCGCGGUGAAUACGUUCCCGGGUCUUGUACACACCGCCCGUCACACCAUGGGAGUAGGUAAUGCCCGAAGUCGGUGACCUAACCGGAAGGAAGGAGCCGCCGAAGGCAGGACUUAUAACUGGGGUGAAGUCGUAACAAGGUACC
rnacentral:rRNA from 1 species